CGGGAAUUUGCGCAAUGGACGAAAGUCUGACGCAGCAACGCCGCGUGAGGGAUGAAGGCCUUCGGGUUGUAAACCUCUUUUCUCAGGGACGAUAAUGACGGUACCUGAGGAAUAAGCCACGGCUAACUACGUGCCAGCAGCCGCGGUAAUACGUAGGUGGCGAGCGUUGUCCGGAUUUACUGGGCGUAAAGAGCGCGCAGGCGGUCGUGCAAGUCGCGUGUGAAAGCCCCCGGCUCAACUGGGGAGGGUCACGCGAUACUGCUCGACUCGAAGGCAGGAGAGGGAAGUGGAAUUCCCGGUGUAGUGGUGAAAUGCGUAGAUAUCGGGAGGAACACCAGUGGCGAAGGCGACUUCCUGGCCUGUUCUUGACGCUGAGGCGCGAAAGCUAGGGUAGCAAACGGGAUUAGAUACCCCGGUAGUCCUAGCCGUAAACGAUGGACACUAGGUGUUGGUGGUAUCAACCCCGCCAGUGCCGAAGCUAACGCAUUAAGUGUCCCGCCUGGGGAGUACGGCCGCAAGGCUA
rnacentral:rRNA from 1 species